CCCGCAAAAUGACUUGUUUAACUGUGAAAAUGUAAUCCAUUUGGUUCGAUAACAUUUGGAAAGUCUGGAAGAACCGCACAAUUAAAUCAUUUAAUCCCCAUUCAAGUUAGCGGAGCGCUAAACCGGAAGUAGCCAGAGGUAGUGUGCCUGCUCUAUGGGCCGCACAGUGCAGAAGCAGUGCCGAUCAUCUGGGUCAUUUUUGGCUCCAUGAUGGCUUCAUGCGCCACUAAGCAGCUCUCAUAGGAACGUAAGGGGCUCUGCAUCCAACGCUUUAUCUA